rnacentral:rRNA from 1 species
GAGUUUGAUCCUGGCUCAGAACGAACGCUGGCGGCGUGCCUAACACAUGCAAGUCCAACGUGAAAGGGGAGCAAUCCCCCGGUAGGGUGGCAAACGGGUGAGUAAUACAUGGGUGAUCUACCUUAGGGAUGGGGAUAUCCUUCCGAAAGGAGGGGCAAUACCGAAUAUUGUCCGGAGCCGUGAAGGGUUCCGGGGAAAGGGAGGCCUCUGAUACAAGCUUUCGCCUUAAGAUGAGCCCAUGGCCCAUCAGCUAGUUGGUAGGGUAAAGGCCUACCAAGGCUACGACGGGUCGCUGGUCUGAGAGGACGACCAGCCACACUGGCACUGAGAUACGGGCCAGACUCCUACGGGAGGCAGCAGUGAGGAAUAUUGCGCAAUGGGGGAAACCCUGACGCAGCAACGCCGCGUGUGGGAAGAAGGCCUUCGGGUCGUAAACCACUUUUGCACGGGACGAAAAAGGGAUAUCGAACAAAUAUCCCCGAUGACGGUACCGUGAGAAUAAGCCACGGCUAACUCUGUGCCAGCAGCCGCGGUAAGACAGAGGUGGCAAGCGUUGUUCGGAAUUACUGGGCGUAAAGAGUCUGUAGGUGGUUUGUCAAGUCUUUGGUGAAAGGCCGUAGCUUAACUAUGGGAAUGCCAAAGAGACUGGCAGGUUGGAGGCUGGGAGAGGGAAGCGGAAUUUCUGGUGUAGCGGUGAAAUGCGUAGAUAUCAGAAGGAAGGCCGGUGGCGAAGGCGGCUUCCUGGAACAGUCCUGACA